rnacentral:rRNA from 1 species
UACGUAGGGUGCGAGCGUUGUCCGGAAUUAUUGGGCGUAAAGAGCUUGUAGGCGGUUUGUCGCGUCUGCUGUGAAAAUCCGGGGCUCAACCCCGGGAGGCGGGCGGAUACUGUCGGGCUAGAGUCCGGAAGAGGCGAGUGGAAUUCCUGGUGUAGCGGUGAAAUGCGCAGAUAUCAGGAGGAACACCAAUGGCGAAGGCAGCUCGCUGGGACGGUACUGACGCUGAGGCGCGAAAGCGUGGGGAGCAAACAGG